GAUGAACGCUAGCGGCAGGCUUAAUACAUGCAAGUCGAGGGGCCGCAUGAGUGUAGCCAUACAUUUGAUGUCGACCGGUAAACGGGUGCGGAACACGUACACAACCUUCCGAUCAGUGGGGAAUAGACCAGAGAAAUUUGGAUUAAUAACCAGUAACAUUUAGAGGUGGCAUCAUCUUUAUAUUAUAGCUAUGGCGCUUAUUGCUGGGUGUGAGGCUGCUUAGAUAGUUGCGGGGGUAACGGCCUACCAAGUCUACGAUCAGUAGCUGAUGUGAGAGCAUGAUCGGCCACACGGGCACUGGGGCACCGAGCCGCCUCCUACGGGAGGCGUCAUUAAGGGAUAUUAGUCAAUGAACGCAAGUCGUAACCAGCCAUGCCGCGUUAAGGAUUGAGUUCCUCUGGAUUGUAAACUUCUUUUAUCUGGGACGAAAAAAGUCGAUUCCUCGUCACUUGACGGUACCAGAUGAAUAAGCACCGGCUAACUCCGUGCCAGCCGCCGCCGUAACAC
rnacentral:rRNA from 1 species